rnacentral:lncRNA from 1 species
GUCUGGGCUCUGCGAUGCUCACUCAUCUCUGUGAUGUUUCCAUUCAGAUCAGGAGCCCCCAGAGGGCGUAUAUUAGGUGCAGCCGGGUCCAGGGCCUUGAGCAAUGCUUGCAAACUUCCCCACCCCCUCACGCAUCUCCUGGUUCUGCUGUCCCCUUCUUGGCUUCAUCGGGCAGGUACAAAAUCACACAGCCCGUUGGAUGGAGAGAGCAAGGCUUCUCCCCUGCUCCUGACUCCUGUCAGCAUUGACUUUGCUGAAGAUCCCUUGUGGUCCCCAAGAAUAAACAGUGGCUCAGAUGGGCACAGGGCUCCUCAUACCAGAGUCCAGCUCCAGCUGGUCCGGGGAUUCCGGAAGGAUGGACGGUGUCGGCGAAAGGGAUGAGAGAGCCAGAAUGUUCUUUCUGAUCACCCUUGUGGAACACCUACUAUGGGCCAGGCACACACACAAGUGUUGGCUCCUUCCACUCAAGGAUUUUGGUCUCCUGCCCAAGAUGAGGGUGUUGAGGGCCAGGGAGGCAAAGGGGCCACUGCAAGACCAGACCAUGGUGCUGCUGGGAUUGGAAUGAAGGGCUUCCCGUGGGCUGCGGCCAUGUGCACUCCACUAACCUGCGCCACUGUAUACAGCCUUCCUCCACCUCCGAGGUGGUCUGCGGCCAGGCGCUUGGCUCUAAGGAGCGGUCCAGGAGCUGAGGUCCUUCCCACCGGACACAGGUAUCCGUCUGUUCCUUGGAAGAAAAGAG